rnacentral:rRNA from 1 species
AAUGGUGAGAGCCUGAUCCAGCCAUCCCGCGUGAAGGACGACGGCCCUAUGGGUUGUAAACUUUUUUGUAUAGGGAUAAACCUACCCUUCGUGAGGGUAGCUGAAGGUACUAUACGAAUAAGCACCGGCUAACUCCGUGCCAGCAGCCGCGGUAAUACGGAGGGUGCAAGCGUUAUCCGGAUUUAUUGGGUUUAAAGGGUCCGUAGGCGGAUCUGUAAGUCAGUGGUGAAAUCUCACAGCUUAACUGUGAAACUGCCAUUGAUACUGCAGGUCUUGAGUGUUAUUGAAGUAGCUGGAAUAAGUAGUGUAGCGGUGAAAUGCAUAGAUAUUACUUAGAACACCAAUUGCGAAGGCAGGUUACUAAGCAACAACUGACGCUGAUGGACGAAAGCGUGGGGAGCGAACAGGAUUAGAUACCCUGGUAGUCCACGCCGUAAACGAUGCUAACUCGUUUUUGGUUUUUCGGAAUCAGAGACUAAGCGAAAGUGAUAAGUUAGCCACCUGGGGAGUACGUUCGCAAGAAUGAAACUCAAAGGAAUUGACGGGGGCCCGCACAAGCGGUGGAUUAUGUGGUUUAAUUCGAUGAUACGCGAGGAACCUUACCAAGGCUUAAAUGGGAAAUGACAGGUUUAGAAAUAGACUUUUCUUCGGACAUUUUUCAAGGUGCUGCAUGGUUGUCGUCAGCUCGUGCCGUGAGGUGUUAGGUUAAGUCCUGCAACGAGCGCAACCCCUGUCACUAGUUGCCAUCAUUAAGUUGGGGACUCUAGUGAGACUGCCUACGCAAGUAGAGAGGAAGGUGGGGAUGACGUCAAAUCAUCACGGCCCUUACGCCUUGGGCCACACACGUAAUACAAUGGCCGGUACAGAGGGCAGCUACACAGCGAUGUGAUGCAAAUCUCGAAAGCCGGUCUCAGUUCGGAUUGGAGUCUGCAACUCGACUCUAUGAAGCUGGAAUCGCUAGUAAUCGCGCAUCAGCCAUGGCGCGGUGAAUACGUUCCCGGGCCUUGUACACACCGCCCGUCAAGCCAUGGAAGUCUGGGGUACCUGAAGUCGGUGACCGUAACAGGAGCUGC